UAGUCCACGCCCUAAACGAUGUACACUAGUUGUUGCGAUGCUAGACAUUGCAGUAAUGCAGUUAACACAUUAAGUGUACCGCCUGGGGAGUACGGUCGCAAGAUUAAAACUCAAAGGAAUAGACGGGGACCCGCACAAGCGGUGGAGCAUGUGGUUUAAUUCGACGAUACGCGAAGAACCUUACCUGGACUUGACAUAGAAAGAAUUUCGCAGAGAUGUAAAAGUGCUAGCUUGCUAGAACUUUCAUACAGGUGCUGCACGGCUGUCGUCAGCUCGUGUCGUGAGAUGUUGGGUUAAGUCCCGCAACGAGCGCAACCCUCGUCAUUAGUUGCUAACAGUUAGGCUGAGAACUCUAAUGAGACUGCCUGGGUAACCAGGAGGAAGGUGAGGACGACGUCAAGUCAUCAUGGCCCUUACGUCCAGGGCUACACACGUGCUACAAUGGGGUAUACAAAGAGCCGCGAUACCGUGAGGUGGAGCAAAUCUCAAAAAUAUCU
rnacentral:rRNA from 1 species